ACCAAGCAAGUGUCCCCCGCCUCCGGCACCGGGACACGCCGCCCUGGCAUGGCUGGCCCUGCAGAGCAGCCGCCUCAGCGCCCCAUUACCUGGCUCAUGCCGUUUCCCAUGGCCGGCAGCGAGUGCUGCAGGGGAGACGGGGGCCAGGUGUCCUUGUCCCCAAUGCUGCCGUCCUCCCCGUCCCCAGGCGCAGCUGCAGUCCCCGCUCUGGACGCUCCCCGCUCGGGUUUCCGUCAUGAAGAGCGUGGCCCCCGCGGGAUCGCUGCCCGUGGCGGGUGGGCUUGCUCCCAGCGCAGCAAGGCCGAGCUGGUGGCAGCUGUGCCGGAGCAGAGGGAAGCUCGGCCGCCGUCCUCUGCGGCUCCUGCCAAGGCCUUUCCCUGGGUGCUCCGGCACUGCCGCGCACUGGCUGCUGCUCUCGCCGGGAGCAGACAAAGGAGGAGAAACUCCCCCUCUGCGCCGUGGCGUGGGAGCAUGGGGGCCGCGCUGGCUGCUGCCUGUCGCCGCUGCACAAGGCCGCAGUGUUGGGAGAAGAACAAAACCUUUGUCCUGCUCCAUCAAGGAAGCUGAGUCAGAGGAACUGAUUAGUGAAGAGUCUGAAGACAUUUCGGAAGCAGUUAGAAAGUGAAGCAGGAAAGCUUGAGACAACAAAAUAUGCCUUUAUUCCAAAGACCUUCAAAAUGCCUUCAGAGUACCAUUUGUUUGUGGAAGAGUUUAGCAAGAAUCUGGCAUCGCUUGCAUUAUGAAACCCGUAAGUACGUGCUCUCCCAAGGAAAAUGAGACAGAUGAAUGGAUGCUUUCGUUCUGCAGAGGGAGAAGAAAAUAUGCAGGAAAUCCACAGGAAGAAUUGGGCAGAGCAAGGUGGCUAGGAGCAGCAGUGCUCCUGGCCAGUUUCCUGAUCAACACGUACUACCAAAACACUUCUUGUGUAACAAUUCAUUUCAGCAGUUAAAAGACAGCUCAGUUUAUUUUUAGAGCCAAAGUUAACUCAGUAGUGAAGGUAUAAAGUGCAGAGUUCUUGUAUGGAGGAACAGAUUGUGCUCCCUGGGGUUCUUACUGUGGGGUUAUGGCUGAGUUCAUGCUCUACAGUCUUUCAGUUUGGUGCAGGUGUGCAAGAAGGUGGAUGUGUGUGCAGGGCAGCUGUCUAAUUGGGCUUCAGGUGAAGCAGCAUUCUGGGGCAGCCCCUAAAGAUGGAGCUAUGAAAACAUCUGUUUGGUUUUAGGGAAAUCCUACUAGGUUAGAUGUCAGCUGGUGUAAGUCCAGCCAAUUUACUGAAUGGAUGGACUUCCAUCCUGAGAAUGUGAAGAGAUUACCGGAGACACCACAAGCAGCCUGGAAUGCAAGUUGAGGCAGAUUUGUUUGGCAUUAGCUUUUCCCUGCCCUGUGGUUAGAGACCUGAAGGGUAGCCUCAUGCUCUGAAUCACAUUUCUGCCCCUCCCCGCCUCGCCCCCCCCACCCCACCCCAUACCUGAGGCUGUGCUGAACGCAGCAGCUUCCACUUCAGCCAGUGUCCUGGGGACCAAGGAAAUAUUGUGUUUCCUUUAGAAAUCACAACAAUACAACGUGAUGCUGAAAAAUGCCUUGCUUCUGCCAGAUGAUUCAAGCCAUUUAACAUCAUGAGUAUCGUGCUGUGGUGCCUAAUUAAAAAUACACCCAUCUGUGAGACCUGCAAGCGAGCAGUCACUUUGCUUCGCGCAGCAGGUCUCGCGAGGAGGCUGGGACAGGAGGAUUCGCCUUACCCUGCAAGUCAGGCCUGUCGGUAAGGGCACACUUGUGAGAAGUGAAUGAGAGGUAAUUAUGCAAACUAACGUGAAUUACAGCCAGGAGGAUAGCAGCUAGUGAUUAUCUAACUCUACAAAUGGGGAUGUGUUAAUUGGCAACAAAAAACCUUAUAUUAAGCUGAUUUUAUGCCCACAACCUCAAUUAACAUGGUAAAUAACCAGAACACAGUAAACAAGGGUAUAUGAAAAACUGUGAUUACUGAAAUUAUACCAACAACUUAAACGAAAUAGUUUGUGGCUGACCUCAAAACUCACAGACAAGUAAAAAUAAACUCCAUGUUACUCCUUCUGUUGGUCUGUGCUCUUGAGCAGCCCUGGUUUGUGAUGUCUCAGGUUGCCUACUCCCACACUCAGAUGCAGUAGUAGGUCAGGACGUGCACAGUGCCAGAUCGUGGGGCUGCAGGAGUCUGGGCCUCCUUUGGAAGGUGCCCUGGGGAGCCUUGCUUCUUGGGUGGCUUAUCUGGGCCACUUGUCACCCCCUUUUCAUACAUCAUGCAGCCUAGGCUGUCUUCAGGAUUUUUCUGCUCUUGCUUGCUAUAGUUCUAUGACAUCUUUCACGACUUCCCUGUUUAAUUAAGUUCUGUAAUGUAUACAAAUUUAAAAUGUGACUCAACAAAAUCCCCAGCAACAUAUGUUGUGUUACUUAUAUUUCUGCAAGCAUGUGACAGAGUUUGUUUAUUCGGUACUGUGGAACUUCCCCAUGGGCUGCCUGCCUGCUCUGCCCUUUCCUCCAGAAAUCCUCCUAACAGUUACAAAUCUGAGUUUUUUUUCACUAGAGAGCUGUUGUUGGAACCCCCUGCCCCCAUAGCCUUAAAUAAACGUGCUUGCAUACAAAGAGAUGAUGAAUCAGGUUAUGCAAGGCUUCUACACUGAAAUUCUGGGAAACCACAGGAAAUGCUAACAUUAAGGGCAGUAGCUCUGCUCUUCCAUCUGUAGGUUGGCAGGUCACAAGGUGAAGGAAUUUGCCUGUUCUGAAAACUGAAGGAUAUCAUUGAUUGAAGAAGGUGAGAACGACUCUCUGCCUCCUCUUUGGGGAGUACCCAACAGACAUUUUGUUCUUUUGCUCUUACUUCAUCCUCCUCCUGCUGGUGACUUGUUCUGUUCUCCCGUGCCUGUCUCGUGCAAUACUCCUUCACCAUUCCCCAGGGCAACAACAAAGUUUUUUACGGGGGAUUUUCCCACAUGGUCAGAUACUUUGUCUGGGAUCUGACUUUGUACACUUUGUGUACAGUUUUAUAUACAAACUUCUGACCUUAGGCACAUUAACAUUAGGCAGCAACAUCAGCAACUGGGUUGUAUCAGACAUUUCUCUGUGGUUGAAUGUUUGACUUGAGUUUAUGUUCGAGUGACAUGUGUAAGUGCAAACUGCCAUUACUAUGUCAGAAAUGUAUUUCCUUGCCUUAAUAUCCAGUUGUUUCUUUCCUCUGCUCCCAGAACAUCCCACUGGAGGCCUGGUUAUCCGUUGGAGGUGGAUCUCCUCGCUUUUCUAAUACACAACUUAGUUUGAAUAGCAGAGAUGAUCACUGUAUCUUACCUGUCUGUGUGUGCCAUAAAGAAGGGUAAGAAAAGGAUGGUACAAUUCUACUACUUGAUAUUAGAUGCAUCAGAUAAACCUUGUCCCUUCUGACUCCUGCAAACACCUACAGGAUUCGGGUGUCCUGUCACGGUCACCCUGUCUCCCUCCAGUCUUUUUUCAUUGGAAAACUGGUGUCACCAGAUCACUAGAAAUGUCAGUGUUGACAGAUCAGCUUGGACUGAAGUUGAAAUGUCAUUCCUGGUUUUAUUGUUAGUGGUUGAAUUUUGGCAGCCUUUCUUCUUCCUUAGCUUCACAGAACGUAAAGACAGGGUGAUUCAUGGGAAAGAACUAUUUGAUUUCCUAUGUGUCACACUUGCUACUGUAUUGAGUUUGGUAGCUUUCAUUUGAUUAACACAUCUUCCCAAAAGGUAUCCCACCUCACUUUGAUGGCUUAGGAGACAGAAAAAUCCAUCACUUCUGUCCGUGAAAGUUCAUCAGAGUUCAUGCUUGCUCUGAAUGAUCAAAAGCCUUUCCAGAGUGGGGGUACAGCAAGCUGCCUUGGGUGAGAGUGCACAGAGGUUUGGAGACACGGUGACAUGAAGAGCUCCAUGCCAGCCACAGGGUACAGUACUAGCUCAGGGCAGUCACUCUUUCAUUUUCUAGAUAUCCGUCUUGAUUACUUCUGAUAUUUUUUUCCUGCAAUUUUUAGUGAGAUGCAAUCAUGCAGUGUUGGAUUUAAGCUCAGAUUGCUGAAGCCUUUGAUUACAGACAGGGAAGACAAUUAAUUAGUAUUGGGGCAGAAGAGGAACGUUUAGAGAGAGAAUUCCAUAUUUGCUUGUUCAGUGUCUGUCUUUGAUCCUUAUCUCUACUUUAUUCCAGAUGUUCAUCUCACACAUGUGGCAGUGCAAAAGACUGCACCUGAUUAUGAUCCUGGGAAGGUGAGGGUUAUGUACUGUCUGCAGACUGUUCCCCUGCUGCCUGCUGUUGGGGCUGUCCUGGCAGAUGCAGACAAAGCUGACCUCAUCCUGCCAGCUGCCACACUGCGGACGUGUGCUGCUGCCACUUCGCUGUGCUGCCUUGUCUCCUGUUACCCAUCAAUGUGAUUUCAUUGAUAGCAGCUUUCAGAGAGA
ensembl:lncRNA